UAAGGAGAAAUUAUAUGCAAUUAAGCUAAAUUCAAGAACUAAUAGUGAACACUUGUAGUAUAUAUUAAUGAAUGUUUGGAGUUGUCUGUUAACUCCUUUAUUGCUAAUACCUGCUAGAACACUGCUGUGUCGAGCUGUGUUUAAUUUGCAUGCUGAAGCAUGAUGCAGCAUGGUAGAGGUUAAUGAAAUACACUGGCAUAAAAUCUUCACUGUGUGUUUUCACUGUGUGCAGUCAUUCUCAGAAGGAGUGGAAGCUGACAAAUCAUUCCUUCUAGUUUCACUUUCUGGCAAACGUAUGAAACCUCGAAAAUUUAUUUUGGCUAUCUAGAAAAGCAGAGUAAACCAACCACAUUUAUUUUGUUCGUAUCUGAUGUCACAUCUGAAUGCAGGUCUCCAGAGGUGAUAUAUUAAUGUCCUAAAGCAUUGCACCAUCUGGUUCCUCUUUUGAUGCGCAACAUUUUGAAUGCUUGGUUUAAUCUCCCUGGAUUUCAGUAAAUUAUGUAAACUUGGAGGCUUGGCAGCGGGAGAUGGGCACCACGAGGAGAUGAUUCAGUCAUCAAUAUCUAUUGGGCUUCCUUAUUGCUGCCAUUACACUUCUUUCAGUUCUACUUAUAAAUUUUGCAAAAUCAGAGCACCUUGGAAUAGAUGCGAGUACAAGACUUUGCACUGCCUAAAACUGCCUUGGAAAACCAUGGCUGCUGCCCCUCAUCUCAACUCGGAUGCACUCCGAGAGGUCCUGGAGUGCCCCAUUUGCAUGGAGUCCUUCACUGAGGAGCACCUGAGACCCAAGCUCUUACACUGCGGGCACACCAUCUGCAAACAAUGCUUAGAGAAACUCCUAGCAAACAGCAUUAACGGGAUACGGUGCCCCUUUUGCAGCAAAAUCACGCGGAUCACAAGCUUAGCUCAGCUGACUGACAAUCUUACUGUGCUGAAGAUCAUAGACACCGCUGGACUGGGGGAAGUGGUGGGUCUUCUCAUGUGCAAGGUCUGUGGGAGAAGGUUGCCAAGACACUUUUGCAAGAGCUGUAGCUUGGUUUUAUGUGAGCCAUGCAAGGAGACAUCACACAUGCCCCAAGGACAUAGAGUCAUUGCUAUCAAAGAGGCUGCUGAAGAGCGUAGGAGAGAAUUUGGGACGAGGCUUGCCAGACUUCGGGAGCUUAUGGGUGAUCUGCAGAAAAGAAAAGCAUCUCUGGAGGGUGUUUCUAGAGACCUGCAAUCUAGAUACAAAGCAGUUCUGCAGGAUUACAGCAAAGAAGAGCGCAAGAUCCAGGAAGAACUGGCCAGGUCACGCAAGUUUUUCACCACCUCUUUGUCUGAAGUGGAGAAGGUAAAUAAUCAGGUAAUGGAGGAGCAAGCUUAUCUGCUGAACUUAGCGGAAGUGCAGAUAAUGUCUCGCUGUGACUAUUUCCUUGCCAAAAUAAAGCUGGGAGAUAUAGCUCUCUUGGAAGAGGCAGCAGACGAGGAAGAACCAGAACUGACAAACAGUCUCCCAAGGGAGCUGACUCUUCAAGAGGUUGAACUCCUUAAGGUGAGCCAUGUGGGACCACUGCAGAUUGGGCAAGUGGUGAAGAAACCCCGGACCGUUAACAUGGAGGAAUCGCUCAUGGAAUCUGCAGCAUCCUCAUCAGCAUCAUUUAGGGAGCCCGACUUGGUGCAAGAAGAGGCCAGCUGCACACCGAAUUCCUCACCAGCCAAGCCAAGGAUGCCUGAAGCAGCCACGAGCAUCCAGCAGUGUCACUUCAUCAAGAAGAUGGGCUCCAAGGGCAGCCUGCCAGGGAUGUUUAAUCUCCCUGUCAGCCUACAUGUCACCCUGCAAGGUGAGGUGCUUGUGGCAGACCGAGGCAAUUUCCGAAUCCAGGUUUUUACCCGCAAGGGCUUUCUGAAGGAGAUUCGCCGGAGCCCCAGCGGAAUUGAUAGUUUUGUAUUGAGUUUCCUUGGAGCAGACUUGCCCAAUUUGACUCCCCUUUCUGUCACCAUGAACUGCCAUGGCCUGAUAGGUGUGACUGACAGCUACGAUAACUCUGUCAAGGUCUACACCAUGGAUGGCCAUUGCGUGGCGUGUCACCGGAGCCAGCUAAGCAAACCCUGGGGCAUCGCUGCCCUGCCUUCUGGGCAGUUUGUAGUGACUGACGUGGAAGGAGGGAAACUCUGGUGUUUCACAGUGGACCGUGGCGUGGGGGUAGUGAAGUACAGUUGCUUAUGUAGCGCAGUGCGCCCAAAGUUCGUCACCUGCGAUGCUGAAGGGACCAUAUACUUUACUCAAGGGCUGGGGCUUAACCUGGAAAACCGGCAGUACGAACACCAUUUAGAAGGCGGCUUUUCAAUUGGCUCCGUUGGCCCAGAUGGGCAGCUGGGACGCCAGAUUAGCCACUUCUUCUCCGAGAAUGAGGAUUUCAGGUGCAUUGCUGGGAUGUGUGUCGAUGCCAGGGGAGACCUCAUUGUUGCUGACAGCAGCCGUAAAGAAAUCCUGCAUUUUCCUAAAGGAGGUGGCUAUAAUAUCUUAAUCCGGGAAGGACUCACCUGUCCUGUCGGUAUCGCCAUUACUCCCAAAGGGCAGCUGCUGGUGCUGGACUGUUGGGAUCACUGCAUUAAGAUCUACAGUUACCAUCUGAGAAGAUACUCCACCCCUUAAAGGCACAUCUCUAGGUAAAGCCCCUUUUGGCAGCAGAGAUCCGUCCAGCCUCAUUGCAGUCUGAUGGGAACCGCUGUGAAGCGUUCAGGGAGAUUGUGCCAUAACUGAAGGGGGUUUGGCACAGAAGGCCGUCAUGUUUUGUGUUUAGAAACAAAAUAGCUUACAUGGUGGUGGUCUGCUUUUUCUUCUUCUUUAUAUAAAAUCCAUACAAUAAAAAAAAGAACAAGUGUGAGGGAAAGGAUCCAUCCUUCUGGAGUAUUGGUUCCUUGAUAAAUGACUGGUCACUCCAUAAACCUUUUCACCUCCUUUCGCCACAUCUCCUACAUUUCCAGCUUCAACCAUUGUAUCUUUCUUUGUGCCAUAAACACUGACUGACUGCUCUAAAUCACCUUCCCUUAGAGGACUAGAGAGGCAAUCCUCUUCUCACUGUGGUACUCACAAGGAACUGGGUAGCAGUUGUCUGGGCAACUACUGGAGAAAGCAGUUUCUGAUUGCAGCACUGCAUAAAAUGAAAUAGCCCUCUUAAACUGCGUGGAGAUGGAACCUUACUUUCAAACUGAAGAGGGAGGGUUUUCUUCGUUUUUCUGGUAUUCAGGAGAUCGCCCCUGUCGUGCCAUUUGUGAACCGUGUCUGUUCAAUGUGAACAAAACACCACAUUCCUCAGAUUUUUUUUUACGGCACCAGCAGGCACCAGAGUUCAUGUUCAUCACGGCUUUGGGCCAAAUGAAGCACAAAACUGCAGCUGUGUGAACCAAGGCCCCCACAGUGCUACUCUCCUGGCUGAUAAAUGUGUACCUCAGUGUGGUGCUGCUUGCCUAGAAUAUUUUAUUGAAGGAAAGAUGCAUUUAAAUAGGGCACAGUGGUAGCAUGUUAAUCUGCCACAGAUAAUAGUUAUACUGCAGUGCAUUUAUUUGUUGCUAUCAACAACGUAGUUGCAAAUUUGGGGGCACGACAGACAAUAUAAAAGCUGAUUUUAUGGUGGCUGCCGUGCUACAGCAAAUUGUUUGCUACUUGUGCUACAACACGUAUGCAACAGGUGAUGGGUUUUUUUCAGUUCCCAUAUACUUUCCCCUCGCGAAACAGCGGAGUAAAAUAGGCUUCAGAGCUGCUGCUGCUCCAGCCAGUUGUUUGGCAGUUACAGGGUUUGCAGAAGAAGCGCUGGGAGCAGAUUUUGGUGGGAUUUUGGGUUUUUUUUCUCUCCCUAUUCUGCUCAUCCAAAGCACUGAAGAGGGCCAGCACAACAAACACCCAGCUGUGUGAUGGAGGUGCCCCUCCAUCAGGGCAACUUCCUAUUUCUUUUGCUAUAAUUUGCUGGAAAAAAGCUUGCGGAGAAGGCAGCGGGAACUAACGACACUAGCAUGGUAGAUGGUGCUGAGGGAGCCCAAGGGGACUGAACCCCCUUUCCCUCCUGAGCUGCUCUGUGUGUUUGCCAAGACUACCAGCCUGCACGUAAUUAUUUAUGUUCUCUGCUUCUCUUUUGGGCGUGGGAGGGGGUAGUCGCCUAAAGUAUGUAACAGCAAUUUGGGGAGCCAAUCUCAUCUUGCAUGUAUGUUUUUGGGAGAUGAUGACUAUUACUGGGCCCUUCUGCAGUUAAUUACAUUGUAACUCAAGGCAUUUUUUCCAGUAUUAUGGUAAUGGCAGUUCCUCUCCUACUGAUCUCUUUUAAACAUUUUUCCUGUUUCUAAGAACUGCUCCAAGCAGGAAGCUACUGUGGACCUGAAUAAUUGAAGCAAUAUUAUCUAUGAUAAUAUGUACCUCUGUCAUUUUCUGUUCCAAUGGAUUUAUUUUUUUUGCAAUAAACAUCACACUACUAGCAAUAACAUUUCCUGGAGUGCUUGAAGGGAUGUAAAAGCUGGUCCAGUAAACUGAGCAGUUGGUUACCCCAGCCUGUUCCUGGUUACACAGUUCAAACAAAGCGUCUGUCAUCUGUUUCUCACUCAGAGAUUCAAGAAAAAUAACAGUGCCCUGCGAUGCACUGGUGGGCCAGGACACUGCGAUCGGCGCCUGGGGGUGUGUGUCGCCUGCAGCUCUUCUUCUAGUCUUGGGUUUCAGGCAAAAAAGGGAAAGAGAAAACCUGCUGUCCCGCGCCCAGGGUACGCAUGUCCCCUGACAAAACUUUACAGUGACUGCGAGAUGAUUUUGCAGAGCUGUAUUUCUUGCCGUGGUGCCCCCACACAGUGUUGUGAUCAUCUGCCAAACGAGAUGAAAUGGAGUAAUUAAGGAUU